rnacentral:rRNA from 1 species
AACGAACGCUGGCGGCAGGCCUAACACAUGCAAGUCGAGCGGACCCUUCGGGGUUAGCGGCGGACGGGUGAGUAACGCGUGGGAAUAUGCCCUUCUCUACGGAAUAGUCCUGGGAAACUGGGGGUAAUACCGUAUACGCCCUUUGGGGGAAAGAUUUAUCGGGGAAGGAUUAGCCCGCGUUGGAUUAGGUAGUUGGUGGGGUAAUGGCCUACCAAGCCGACGAUCCAUAGCUGGUUUGAGAGGAUGAUCAGCCACACUGGGACUGAGACACGGCCCAGACUCCCACGGGGGGGAGCAGGGGGGAAUCUUAAAAAAGGGGGGCAACCCUGAUUUAGCCAUGCCGGGUGAGUGAUGAAGGCCUUAGGGUUGUAAAGCUCUUUCAGCGGGGAAAAUAAUGACGGAACCAGCAAAAGAAGCCCCGGCUAACUCCGU